rnacentral:rRNA from 1 species
GACGAACGCUGGCGGCGUGCUUAACACAUGCAAGUCGAACGGAAAGGCCCUGCUUUUGUGGGGUGCUCGAGUGGCGAACGGGUGAGUAACACGUGAGUAACCUGCCCUUGACUUUGGGAUAACUUCAGGAAACUGGGGCUAAUACCGGAUAGGAGCUCCUGCUGCAUGGUGGGGGUUGGAAAGUUUUGGCGGUUGGGGAUGGACUCGCGGCUUAUCAGCUUGUUGGUGGGGUAGUGGCUUACCAAGGCUUUGACGGGUAGCCGGCCUGAGAGGGUGACCGGCCACAUUGGGACUGAGAUACGGCCCAGACUCCUACGGGAGGCAGCAGUGGGGAAUAUUGCACAAUGGGCGGAAGCCUGAUGCAGCAACGCCGCGUGCGGGAUGACGGCCUUCGGGUUGUAAACCGCUUUCGCCUGUGACGAAGCGUGAGUGACGGUAAUGGGUAAAGAAGCACCGGCUAACAACGUG